AGAGUUUGAUCAUGGCUCAGAUUGAACGCUGGCGGCAGGCCUAACACAUGCAAGUCGAGCGGUAGCACAGAGAGCUUGCUCUCGGGUGACGAGCGGCGGACGGGUGAGUAAUGUCUGGGAAACUGCCUGAUGGAGGGGGAUAACUACUGGAAACGGUGGCUAAUACCGCAUAAUGUCGCAAGACCAAAGUGGGGGACCUUCGGGCCUCAUGCCAUCAGAUGUGCCCAGAUGGGAUUAGCUAGUAGGUGGGGUAACGGCUCACCUAGGCGACGAUCCCUAGCUGGUCUGAGAGGAUGACCAGCCACACUGGAACUGAGACACGGUCCAGACUCCUACGGGAGGCAGCAGUGGGGAAUAUUGCACAAUGGGCGCAAGCCUGAUGCAGCCAUGCCGCGUGUGUGAAGAAGGCCUUCGGGUUGUAAAGCACUUUCAGCGGGGAGGAAGGCGUUAAGGUUAAUAACCUUGGCGAUUGACGUUACCCGCAGAAGAAGCACCGGCUAACUCCGUGCCAGCAGCCGCGGUAAUACGGAGGGUGCAAGCGUUAAUCGGAAUUACUGGGCGUAAAGCGCACGCAGGCGGUCUGUCAAGUCGGAUGUGAAAUCCCCGGGCUCAACCUGGGAACUGCAUUCGAAACUGGCAGGCUAGAGUCUUGUAGAGGGGGGUAGAAUUCCAGGUGUAGCGGUGAAAUGCGUAGAGAUCUGGAGGAAUACCGGUGGCGAAGGCGGCCCCCUGGACAAAGACUGACGCUCAGGUGCGAAAGCGUGGGGAGCAAACAGGAUUAGAUACCCUGGUAGUCCACGCCGUAAACGAUGUCGAUUUGGAGGUUGUGCCCUUGAGGCGUGGCUUCCGGAGCUAACGCGUUAAAUCGACCGCCUGGGGAGUACGGCCGCAAGGUUAAAACUCAAAUGAAUUGACGGGGGCCCGCACAAGCGGUGGAGCAUGUGGUUUAAUUCGAUGCAACGCGAAGAACCUUACCUGGUCUUGACAUCCACAGAACUU
rnacentral:rRNA from 1 species